rnacentral:rRNA from 1 species
UACAGAGGAUGCAAGCGUUAUCCGGAAUGAUUGGGCGUAAAGCGCUCGUAGGCGGUCUGUCGCGUCGGAUGUGAAAGCCCUCGGCUUAACCGAGGAAGUGCAUCCGAAACUGGCGAGCUUGAGUAUGGAAGAGGGUCUCGGAAUUCCCGGUGUAGAGGUGAAAUUCGUAGAUAUCGGGAGGAACACCAGUGGCGAAGGCGGAGACCUGGGCCAAUACUGACGCUGAGGUGCGAAAGCGUGGGGAGCAAACAGG